rnacentral:rRNA from 1 species
AGCAUAUCAAUAAGCGGAGGAAAAGAAACCAACAGGGAUUGCCUCAGUAACGGCGAGUGAAGCGGCAAGAGCUCAAAUUUGAAAUCUGGCCCCUCUGGGGUCCGAGUUGUAAUUUGCAGAGGAUGCUUCGGGUGCGGUCCCCGUCUAAGUGCCCUGGAACGGGCCGUCAUAGAGGGUGAGAAUCCCGUCUGGGAUGGGCGGCCGCGCCCGUGUGAAGCUCCUUCGACGAGUCGAGUUGUUUGGGAAUGCAGCUCUAAGCGGGUGGUAAAUUUCAUCUAAAGCUAAAUACUGGCCGGAGACCGAUAGCGCACAAGUAGAGUGAUCGAAAGAUGAAAAGCACUUUGAAAAGAGAGUUAAAUAGCACGUGAAAUUGUUGAAAGGGAAGCGUUGUCCACCAGACUCGCCCGGGGGGGCUCAGCCGGCACGUGUGCCGGUGUACUCCUCUCCGGGCGGGCCAGCAUCGGUUUGGGCGGCUGGUGAAAGGCCCCGGGAAUGUACCACCCUCCGGGGUGUCUUAUAGCCCGGGGUGCCAUGCAGCCAGCCUGGACCGAGGCCCGCGCUUCGGCGAGGAUGCUGGCGUAAUGGUGGUCAACGGCCCGUCUUGAAACACGGACCAAGGAGUCUAACAUCUAUGCGAGUGUUCGGGUGUCAAACCCGUCCGCGCAGUGAAAGCGAACGGAGGUGGGAGCCUUUCGGGGCGCACCAUCGACCGAUCCUGAUGUCUUCGGAUGGAUUUGAGUAAGAGCAUAGCUGUUGGGACCCGAAAGAUGGUGAACUAUGCCUGAAUAGGGCGAAGCCAGAGGAAACUCUGGUGGAGGCUCGCAGCGGUUCUGACGUGCAAAUCGAUCGUCAAAUUUGGGUAUAGGGCGAAAGACUAAUCGAACCAUCUGGUAGCUGGUUCUGCGAU